AGUGAACGCUGGCGGUAGGCCUAACACAUGCAAGUCGAACGGCAGCACAGUAAGAGCUUGCUCUUACGGGUGGCGAGUGGCGGCCGGGUGAGGAAUACAUCGGAAUCUACUUUUUCGUGGGGGAUAACGUAGGGAAACUUACGCUAAUACCGCAUACGACCUACGGGUGAAAGCAGGGGAUCUUCGGACCUUGCGCGAUUGAAUGAGCCGAUGUCGGAUUAGCUAGUUGGCGGGGUAAAGGCCCACCAAGGCGACGAUCCGUAGCUGGUCUGAGAGGAUGAUCAGCCACACUGGAACUGAGACACGGUCCAGACUCCUACGGGAGGCAGCAGUGGGGAAUAUUGGACAAUGGGCGCAAGCCUGAUCCAGCCAUACCGCGUGGGUGAAGAAGGCCUUCGGGUUGUAAAGCCCUUUUGUUGGGAAAGAAAAGCAGCAGGUUAAUACCCCGCUGUUCUGACGGUACCCAAAGAAUAAGCACCGGCUAACUUCGUG
rnacentral:rRNA from 1 species